rnacentral:rRNA from 1 species
GACGAACGCUGGCGGCGUGCUUAACACAUGCAAGUCGAACGGAAAGGCCCCUUUGGGGGUACUCGAGUGGCGAACGGGGGAGUAACACGUGAGUAACCUGCCCUUGACUUCGGGAUAACUUCAGGAAACUGGGGCUAAUACCGGAUAGGAAUCCUUUCUGCAUGGUGGGGGUUGGAAAGCUUCGGCGGUUUUGUGUGGAGUCGCGGCUCAUCAGCUUGUUGGUGGGGUAGUGGGUUACCAAGGCUUUUACGGGUAGCCGGCCUGUGAGGGCGACCGGCCACAUUGGACCUGAGAUACGGCCCACACUCCUACGGGAGGCAGCAGUGGGGAAUAUUGCACAAUGGGCGGAAGCCUGAUGCAGCAACGCCGCGUGCGGGAUGACGGCCUUAGGGUUGUAAACCGCUUUCAGCAGGGGCGAAGCUUGUGGUGACGGUACCUGCAGAAGAAGCACCGGCUAACUACGUG